UACGGAGGGUGCAAGCGUUGUCCGGAAUCACUGGGCGUAAAGGGCGCGUAGGCGGCUCGGUAAGUAGGGGGUGAAAUCCUGCGGCUUAACCUCAGGGCUGCCUUCUAAACUGUCGAGCUUGAGCACGGUAGAGGCAGAUGGAAUUCCCGGUGUAGCGGUGGAAUGCGUGGAGAUCGGGAAGAACAUCAGUGGCGAAGGCGGUCUGCUGGGCCGUUGCUGACGCUGAGGCGCGACAGCGUGGGGAGCAAACAGG
rnacentral:rRNA from 1 species